ACUACGAACGCUUCGCUCGACAAUUAAAUGUUUUUUAAAGUUUUUGGCUAAGGUUUAUAUAAACUAUGACUAUAAAAUUGCCUUCUCUUUUUCAUGUAUUAGGUGUACUUCUUAUAUUGGUACUAAUUCAGAAUGAAUUGUGUGCAGAAGUAGGAAAUUCCGACAAUCAUGACCCGAAUGAUGAAGUGGCCUACCGAAGUGCAAUGGUGCCAACAUGGCCGAUUGAGGAAAACGAACGCGUCUGCACAAAUACUAACUGUCAGCGUAUAUGCAAAGCUUUAACCUACAGGAUUGGACGUUGUAACAAAAAUGGAGUUUGCGUUUGCUAUCGCUAAAACAUAAAAAUAUACUUAUUAUUUUAAGGAUCUAUUGUUAUAUUGCUAUGUUGCAUCCCAAAAUAUUCUUCCCCGUAGAUAAUAAAUGUUUACAUAAAAAUUAA